rnacentral:misc_RNA from 1 species
UUAGCAAUGUAUGCGCUG